rnacentral:rRNA from 1 species
GAUGAACGCUGGCGGCGUGCCUAAUACAUGCAAGUCGAGCGAACAGAUGAGGAGCUUGCUCCUCUGACGUUAGCGGCGGGCGGGUGAGUAACACGUGGAUAACCUACCUAUAAGGCUGGGAUAACUUCGGGAAACCGGAGCUACUACCGGCUAAUAUCGUGAAACGCAUGGGUCAAUAGUGAAAUACGGUUUUGCUGUCACUUAUAGAUGGAUCCGCGCCGCAUUAGCUAGUUGGUAGGGUAACGGCUUACCAAGGCAACGAUGCGUAGCCGACCUGAGAGGGUGAUCGGCCACACUGGAACUGAGACACGGCCCAGACUCCUACGGGAGGCAGCAGUAGGGAAUCUUCGGCAAUGGGCGAAAGCCUGACGGAGCAACGCCGCGUGAGUGAUGAAGGUCUUCGGAUCGUAAAACUCUGUUAUUAGGGAAGAACACAUGUGUAAGUAACUAUGCACGUCUUGACGGUACCUAAACAGAAAGCCACGGCUAACUACGUG